AAGCUAGGAGGGGAGCAAAGGAGGUGCUGGGACUGAUGGAAGGGGAGCUGUUCAGGUGCUUGCUCGGUCAUCUGGUGAAGAUCAAGAUACCAUCCAUGUGCUGGAUAGGUCUCAGAUAGGUGGGCAUCAAGUUCAGCUUUCAUGGAGCCUACUCCUCAUCAGAACAAGCAGGUUCAUGUACAGAGUUAAUUGCUUGGCCGUUGAUGCAUGAAGUAGGGUCAAUUGAGCUGAGGUUUGCUAGCUGUCCUCGCUCGUUGUCCUUCAACCUUUUAAUUGAUUUUUAUAGCACAAAAUAUGCUUCCAAAGUGAAUUUUUAAGUAAAAGAAUAAAAUCAGAUCAUUUUGGAUGUGUCUGAAAUCUGAAUUUACGGCUGAAAACAAGCUCUUAAUGAUUCUCUGAACUUGAACAUGUCCCUGAAACUGAAUAAAAUUUAUGUAAAGAAUAUUGAGGACAAAUUUAUCAGGUGUAUACAAUAUGAUUGCUCUAUUUAGAGAUUUGUGCCAUUUCAGCACCCUGCCUGUAUAUCUCUAAAAUCUGGCUACUAUAUUAUUGCAGAGACAAAUUAGUAAUAAUCUGAUAUAAAGUAAGAGGACAAACCAGAACAAAUUGUCUUUCACAGAUAUCUUUUAUGCACAUAAAAAGAAAAGGGUUUGUCAAAUUAACUCCUUUUUGCUACAGGUUUCAGUAUUGUCUAUUAAAUCUAAUGUGCUUCUAAUUAAUCCUAUAUACACAAUAUGCUAAAUUUUCAGUAUUUUAAGCACUGUGCUACCAUUUGCAGAAAAAUAAUUGGUUAAUAAACUAACAGUACACUGCUAUUACCAGCUGUUCUGAUAAGUGGUACUUAGUUGGGUGUUGUAAGUAUGCAGGUAGAAAGUGAUAAUAGAAAAGUGUGCCAAUCAAAGAGCUGUUGUGGGUUCCCAGUGACAAAAAAGAUGAGUCUUUAGAAGGACUUCUAGAGCAAAGUGUUACAGCAAGGUUUGUUGAAAAUUUAGGAGUUGGCACAAGAAUGGAAGAAGACGGAACAUAUCUACUAUAGUAUAUGCGAGAUUAUGCAAUGCAAUACAAGAAGGGGAGAAGAUGGGAACUCUGAAUUAUCGAAGUCACCAACAAUAACUUUUGAUGAAGUAGUACAACAAGGUUUUAGGCAUAUGCUGCACUUUCUUUUCUGCUCCAAUGCGAUGGUGACGGAAGAAUCAUAGUUGUAAGCAAAAAAUUUAGUGGACAAUAUGAAUAUGCACAUCUGAAAUUUGUGAUUCUUUUUUGUAUAGAUAGUCUUUUUGAAGGAGCUAUAACCUUGCUCUGCAUCUUACUCUGCCACUGAGACCGCUAACCAUCUUGUUUGGAGAUAACACUUAAUGUAUACUAUGAUUUAAGUCUGUUGUGUAGUAUAGAUGCAUGUUACAUUUUUUUAAAAUCACAAACCAUAUUUCACUUAAAAUGCUUGAUCUGGAUGGAAUAUUUACAACCCACCGACCAUGUGUUUGUAAAAGCUCUUUAAUAUAUUUUUAAUUUAUUUUUCAUUAGUAAUUCCCUUUUUUCAGCAAAUGUGAGCAUUUCAGUAGAUUAUUAAAACUAUAUAAGAAGAUAUCGGUGAUUAAAAUAAACCUCAUUAUCAUCAUAUCAUUUUUAUGUACGUUCAGUAUUUUUUUUAUCAUUUGUAGUUGUCUCAUAAAAUAACUUAUAGUGGAGAACCUUCUAUGCCAAUUUGAGAAUUUGAUUGUCAUGUGCACCCACACAUAUGUCAUGUUAUACACAUAUGCCAUCAUGCCAUCAUGGAUCUACCCUAUAGUUCAACAAAUCCUUUUACUCAUUCAUCAUUCAUCAUAUCACAUAUCUAAUGGUUUAAAAUCAUCCAAUCCAACGCCUCAGAUUACCCCACCUCUCCCCCUCCUCUCCUCCCCGUACCUGAAAUGGCGAAAUCACGCCGCAUCCACCGUCCUGUCUCGCUCUUCCCUCCUCUUUCUCCCGCAUCUCCCACGCAUUUCCUCAUCGCGCUCUCUCGCCCCCUCACCGUCGUGCACUCGUGCGCCGGAUUUUUCACAGAAUCGACGCGCUCCUCCUCCGCAGUCCGCACCACCAUCGUGCCGCGCGCCUCUCCCUACCGCGAAAUAACGCCGCGCCGGCGCCCACCAUCGUCACCGCCGCCCAUCGCUCUCCACCGCGCCCCCAUUGCACCUGACGCGAAGGAGGAGCCCGAGGAGGAAGAAGAAGAACAAGGAGGCUGACGCCGACGCCUGCAGGCAAAGAAGACGACCGAGACCUUCUUGUAUGAGGGAACACCGAAGAAGUCGUCCACGCGCGGGCGACCGGGGGCGAACCCUAGCCCCCGGCCGCCGCCACCCACCCCUCCUCUCACCGCCUCGCCGCCGCCGGAAACCACGCAGACGUUGGGAUGGCGGCGGCGGGGCCAAAACCCCCGACGGCGGCUCGUCUCCGGCGCAAGGAGGUGGCACAGCGCGCCGCGAAGGCCUCGCGGCGUGUGGCUGCGGAUCCGCCGCCGCCGGAUCUGGCCCUUCCGUGGCUGGAUCCGGCCCGUCAUCACCGGAACUGACCGGUGAGCUGACGGAGCGGGCGACGGCGGCAGGUGGCGUGAGGACGGCGGCGUUUGGCGGGGGAGACAGCCGACGGGAGACGCGGGCGACGCCGCGGCUGGAACUUGCUGACAGGAGGUGGUACGGCUCCGGCCGCUGCGGGUACCUCCCCCUCCGCCACCCACCACACGUCGCCCCCCGGCAGAUUCACCGCCUGCCUGCUCGCCGUCGCCGCCAUCACCACCAUCUUCGCCCUCGCCCUCACCCUCCACCGCCCUGACCUCUCCGCCGCCUCGCCACGGUGAGCGCCCGCCCCCCCUUGCUCCCUCCACCAAUUGCUCACGGGUGCGGUUCGCGAUCAACGCGGAGGACAGCCUCAACAACAGGUUCAGGCCCAUCCAGGGGCUCACCACCGACGCCGUCUUCUCCGUUGACGACGACCUCAUCGUGCCGUGCUCCACGCUGCGGUUUGCCUUCGCCGUGUGGCAGAGUGCGCUCUCUGCCAUGGUGGGCUUCGUGCCCCGGAUGCACUGGCUUACUGACCCGGUAUGCACAAAUGCACUCAAACACACGACCAUUUCUGAAUUUUUAGUGCACCAUGAGUAAUCUUUGAAUUUGUGGUGCAUCAUGAGUAAUCUCUGAAUUUCUGAACUUUUGGUGCAUCAUGAGUAAUCUGUGCACUAAUUGAGGAUGGCUACACAUUAAAUAGCUACUCAUCUCUUGCAAUUACCAACAUAAGUAAAGUACUUAGCACAAUGUUAGCCUUUUGUGCUUGCUUCAUCCCUUGUGCUUUAGGCAUGAUGAACAAUAGAAUAAUAGAUUAUCAUCCCGGCCAACACACGGGAACUGGCUUUACGUCGCCACUGCUUGUGACCUGCUUGAUGGAAUGCUUGCCUUGGAGUUCUUAAAUAUAUUAUCAAAAUGUACAUAUAUGCCUUAAAUUACAUCUUAUAGUACCCAUAUGAAUGUAUAUACUUAUACUUAUAGUACCCAUAUGAAUACAAGCAUGUGUUUAGUAAAAUGCUAACAAGGUGCAUAGACCUGUCUAGGGCAUUGGGCAAUGACAUGUCAUCAUUUCUUAAGUCUUGUUUACUGUCCUUCUAUGCAUCUAUCUAAUUAGCUCCAUGAUAAAUAAUUUUGAGUUACAUGGAUGCUUCAUUGAACAGAAGCUUCUACAGCUUUGAUUAUUUAUCAUGGCUUAAAACCUUUCAUUUCUUCUAUCGUUGUGCAAAGUUAGAAAAGGAUAUUAGCAACAUGAACAUCAUGCCAUCAUGGAUAUUCCAAUUUUUUGACCAAAAUUUAGAUGUGUAUCUAUACUUUAUUAUAACAGCACCAGCAUCAGUUUGGCUAUACAUGGAGCGUUGAUACAAGUAGUCCUAGCUAGCGCUUGAUUUGAUCAAACACCUCAUAUUUGAAGUUGGAUCCUUACCUCCAAGUCUCCCCAAAACAAAUAAUUUGUGCUUUAAAGGCAUCAAUUUAAAAUUUUCUGAUAUAUGAUUGCUAGAUGAUACAGGACAUCAUGGCCAUUCGUGAUUUGAUCAGAAGUCCAUCAAUUUAAUGCGUUUAACAAAGUCUUUUUAAUGACUUUGCUCCCAGAAAAUUCUGCCUACUCUCUAGCCAUCUCCCUGGGCGAACCCAGUCCCAUUACUAUCCUCGCAUGGAUUCCGUUUUCUUUGUCCCCUUGCCAGCGCUAGACUGAUUGUUAAAUUUAUUCUUGAUUAGAGUGCUUCUCCUUUCAGCAACUGUCAGUAUCUGAAAACUCAUAUUUUCUAUGCACAUGAUUUUGAAGUUUUAAAAAAUAUUUGACUAGAUGCCUCACAAAUGUGAUGUUUGUUGAAUCCACAAAAUGCUUUGGACAUAACAUAAGACUAUAGUUUCAGUGAUGUUCAGUGGCGAAUCCAGGGUGUAAAUUGAGGAGGUGCUAGUGUAAAAAAUAUUAUACUCCCUCCGUCCCUAAAUAUUUGACGCCGUUGACUUUUUUAAACAUGUUUGACCGUUCAUCUUAUUGAAAACUUUUGUGAAACAUAUAAAACUAUAUGUAUACAUAAAAGUAUAUUUAACAAUGAAUCAAAUGAUAGGAAAAGAAUUAAUAAUUACUUAAAAUUUUUAAUAAGACGAACGGUCAAAUAUAUUUAAAAAAGUCAACGGCAUAAAUAUUUAGGGAUGGAGGGAGUAUGAUUAAAACAAAUAAAGGUAUAUCAACUAAAGUAUUUUCCAAUGAAAACCAAAUGUGCAUAUGAUAAAAAAAAACUCUCUAUUUUGAUUUGUGGCUAUAUUAAAAUAUUCACAAAUAUAUGUGAAUAUAUUGUUAUUUAUACUUGGAGGAUGUUCUGUUUUAUCAGUUUGGGCAGUAGAAGAACUAAGGUAGCCUGUGCUAUUCGGGAAAUUUCUUCACUAAUGACUAAUUAGAUUUGUUAAUAACUAAUUAAGAGCAGGGAUUAGAGGUGGGGCUGGCACACCAACCAGCCCCAACAGUGAAUCCGCCACUGGUGAUGUUGUAUUUCGAAUGUUCAUAAAGCAUGCUGUCAGAUUAUCUGUACAGCAUAUAUUCCUGUUGCCUUAAAUCCAUCAUGAUUUUUCAGGUUUUGGAUGUCACACGUCUUCACAAUGUUAACAACUUGCUUAGCCUACAUUAUUUCCAUAUUGUUUAGUGUUUACUGAGUACUGACCAUAGCAAAUCUUGUUUGCAUGGAUGAAUCACAUUCACAAUCCAAUGGCCUUGUCCUCUUGAUUGACUAUGUCUAAGCUCUUCCCCUUUUUAGUGUUUUUCUAUUUGGAUUCCAUGAAGGGCUAUACUACUGCACAUGUCACACUUGAUGCCAGGUAUGUUCAAAUGUAGAAGAGAUUAAUUCUAGCAAUUUCGUUCUACAGUUGAUUGCAGAUUGUAAAGUUCAGUGAACCACCCUUUGACAUCAGAAACCUCCCACUAGUGUGUCUAUCUAAUCCGUUGAUGCUUUCUUUAGUUAGACAAACUAUGUGUGUUCUGAGUUAGAAUAUAAUAUCCUGGAUCUUCUGUGUUCUGUGCAUGUCUCUUUGUGUAUAUAUGCUUGGAGUCAUGCUGUAAUGAUCUUCAAUUUUGUCCAAGAUUACCACUAUCCAUGAGAACAUCUGCUAUUGCUUUAUUUGGAUUUUUUGGUGAUCUAUGAGAUUUUACUAUAUCCUAUACUGUUCAGAUAGCCUGAAAUUCUGAAAUCGUUUUCUUCAGGAGCUAUGUUAUUCCUGUUUAGUUUUUAUAUUAUGAGAAAUAUGUGGAUCAUUUAUACCCUGGGUUGAACUGCACUUAACUUCUCCUGAAGACCAUGUGUUGCCUCUAUAUUUCCAUCAUAUCUUGUGCCAUUGUUUGUUCUGAGGGCUGUAGUUAAACUCAUUUUUUUUUUCCUGUUGGACUGCUGUGUUUUCCCCUGAUUUUUCCAUGGUUAUGUGUUUAUAAUUUUACUCCUUUGACUUGACAUCUAUUUGUAGCACAAACGGAUAAGGAAUCAGAGUUGUACAUUUUAUUUUCUAGCAGUUAUCCAUGGGAUGGCAGCUGGGAGGCAUCUGACCCUGGCUGGUAAGACAUACAAGUGCCCCUCUGCAGCUGUAAAAUUCAGUCCUGAAUCUUUUCACUUAAUUUAUAUCUGUAGUGUUAGCAGAACAAUAUGAUCAUUAGCCAUUGAGAUGAUGUAGCAGGCAGUCAUAUGAGAUUUUUUUGGACCUCAAUGUUAGCAUGGCCCAUUUCCUGAUUAAUUGGACUGGUUGAUCUGCAAAGGUUGGUCUUGUUAGCUGAAGUGACACCAUAUGCAGCUUAUUACCUUGAUAAAAAUGGGAGCAAUGCUCUCAUGCGUUUUUGAGGGAAAAAAAGAGGAAGCAGUGUCAACGGAAACUGAUCCUUACUGCAGAGGUGCAUCAAUACUGAAAUGAGUCUUGUGCUACAGUUAAUUGUAGUAAAUCACUACAGCAGUAGCAAUGGUGUUUCCAGUGUAGUGCAGACAACUUCUGUUACUGUAGAAUUUCAACUGGAAAGUACACCUCUGAUCUGAUGUUCAGAAUUGAUCCUAAAACAUGACCCAAAAUUGAUGCCGACUCAAGUGAACUUGUCAAGAGUCUACGUGACAAGUUGCUUCUGUAUUUAAAGUUGGUGAUGAUAAUGCCAAAAUUCUGGUGCAUGAAGGUUCUCUAACCCGUUGUUGGAUGGGUUUUAAGAAAAAUAAGUUGUCAACCGAUUUUUAUUGUAAAUCAUUCUAGGAAACAUACUCCAAACUACUAUGAAUUUUCCUGGUUAUUUAUUUAA